rnacentral:misc_RNA from 1 species
AUUAAAUCCAAAGGUUAGUUUGUGAACACAUGAAUCAUAAUAAAAUUAUGGGACUGAAAAAAUGGCUCACACAUUGUGAGCUGAUUCUAACCAUUCUAAGUUUCUCACAAUCUUAAAUAAAACAAGGCAUAUACUUCCUAGGGAUUAAGAUCAAUGAUUAUAUGCAUCUUGUAAUCGAAGUGGGGUUUAUGGGAUUGAGAAGUAAGGUCUUUGAACAAAUUGAAUAAAAAAUGGGGAAAAGAAAUCAAUAAUUAUAUGAGAGUCAUUCUUAAAUUUUCUUUUGUCUACAUGUAGAUCAUUGCAUAUUGAUAUCAUAUACAA